UACAGAGGUCCCAAGCGUUGUUCGGAUUCACUGGGCGUAAAGGGUGCGUAGGCGGCGCGGUAAGUCGGGUGUGAAAUCUCGGGGCUUAACUCCGAAACUGCACUCGAUACUGCCGUGCUUGAGGACUGGAGAGGAGACUGGAAUUUACGGUGUAGCGGUGAAAUGCGUAGAUAUCGUAAGGAAGACCAGUGGCGAAGGCGGGUCUCUGGACAGUUCCUGACGCUGAGGCACGAAGGCCAGGGGAGCAAACGGG
rnacentral:rRNA from 1 species